GGCCCGUUGGUCAAGCGGUUAAGACUCCGGCCUUUCACGCCGGCAACACGGGUUCGAGUCCCGUACGGGUCACCA
rnacentral:tRNA from 1 species